UGCUUUGCGCAGUGGCGGUACCAUAGCCAAUGAGGUUUUACCGAGGCGUGGUUAUUGCUAGUUGAAAACUAUUCCCUUACCUGGCACAGGAGGCACCUUGAUCAGUAAGGAGGUCCUCCCAAUCCUACAACAUCCUACAAUG